rnacentral:rRNA from 1 species
UACGUAGGGGCCUAGCGUUGUCCGGAAUUAUUGGGCGUAAAGAGCUCGUAGGCGGUUCGGCAAGUCGGAUGUGAAAUCUCCACGCUUAACGUGGAGGGGCCAUUCGAAACUGCUGUGACUCGAGUCCGGUAGGGGAGUGUGGAAUUCCCGGUGUAGCGGUGAAAUGCGCAGAUAUCAGGAGGAACACCGAUGGCGAAGGCAGGUCUCUGGGCCACUACUGACGCUGAGAAGCGAAAGCGUGGGGAGCGAACAGG